GUCUGUGUGCCGCCUUGCAUUCCGUUUCUCAGUCAUGGGGGCCUGCUUGCAACACCAGUGGCAAAGCAGUCUUGCAUUGUGCUAUUUGUUCUGGAAGGACACAAGCAUUGAGGAGCCAUUUGACCUGCCACUACACUGAUACGGUAUUUGGCAAAGGCAGGAGGCAUCUGCAAGCAACCAGUCAUUCCGAUUCUGAAC